rfam:Triticum aestivum genome assembly, contig: Triticum_aestivum_CS42_TGACv1_scaffold_210783_3AS
GUAUUACUCCCUCCUAUCCAUCUUAGUUGUCGCUGAAAUGGAUGUAUCUAGACGUAUUUCAGUGCUAGAUACAUCCGUUUCAGCGACAACUAAUUUGGAUCGGAGGGAGUACGUA